UUUCGCGGCCGAAUGUUGGUUCGAUGAUACAUGUAUCCUCGACAUGGACUACUUUGUCAAGACACUUUCUGGCAUUAAGGCCAAAGGUGUUCGUCCUGAACUUAUUGGCUCCAUUAUUACUCAUUAUGCUUCUAAAUGGCUUCCUGACCUUUCUUUCGGAGAAGGUAUUUAUACAAAUUCUUCCAACACGUACCUGAUUUAGUAAUAUAGUAGCAUUACAAUCUUAAUAGCUCAGAUACUUACAGUCUUAGUAGUUCAGUUGGUUGGCUAUCUCAAUUUCUAACUUGUUGAUGAGGUUCGAUUCUCCCAUCCCCGUUUCCCUUUCCCCUAUCCCUAAUUUGAAACAAAUGUAGUAAUAUCAGAAACAACUUCUCUGCUUCUGAAUCAGGAUUAGGUCCACGUAUAUUUUAUUCUUUCCAGACCUUGAGUUGUUGCAGUAUGGUACGUAUGCUCUCCUUUAAUAUACUGAUGUUUAUUUUUUUUUGGCAGGUUCAGAAGUUUUUCCAGGCCCGACUUUCGAGGACUCGCCUGAAAGCGUAACGGCAUUAUGGAUGAAGAAGAGAUUCUUCGUGGAAACAUUAGUCGGAAUUCUGCCACCGGAGAAAGAUUCAAUUCCAUGCAAUUUCCUUUUACGGCUACUUCGGGUUGCAAAUAUGGUUCGGGUCGAGCCAAGAUCGGUGGGUUAAAGGGUCCUUGGUCUCCUUAUAUGGUCUUGGACAAUCCUCCCCUCAUGAGCUAACUUUUGAGGUUGAGUUAGGUCCAACAUUCAUUUCUUUAUCAUGGUAUCAGAGCCAGAUCCAACCAAUUCAUUAUUUUCGAUGUUGGGCACCCCAUCUUAUAGUGUCGACAUCUAGAGCAAGUUUUUGAUUUCCUUAUAUAGUCUUGAAUAAUCCUCAUCCUUCCCUCAUGAAUUUCUUUAUCAUACAUCCUACGGGUAGUAACAACACUAUCUUUUGCAUAUAUCGUAGAUACGGAUAGUAAUAACACUAUCUUUUUCGUAUAUCGAAAUACUAAAUUAAAACACGAGCUCAUGAGCUCCAUCAGCAAGUGUCUGAGGGCAUUCUUGUCAACAACAGAUAAAAACAAUGUUGUCAACAUUAUGUGGUGGUGUCACCCCCUAGCAAUUUUUUAUCCACUAGAGGUAAUAACCUCACGUAACAACAAGAAAGACCAAACAUCCUUAGCCAGAAAUGAAUUUUCAUUCAUCUAUAUGAAUUACUACUAGCUAGCUAGUAGUAGUAAGAGUACUAUUACUCUCGUGUAUGUUCACUGCUCACACAAAACUCCAAAAUGAUGAACCUAACAUCACCGGAAUCCGUUAAUCUUCCCGGCAAAUCCACGCAUUUCGCGGCCGAAUGUUGGUUCGAUGAUACAUGUAUCCUCGACAUGGACUACUUUGUCAAGACACUUUCUGGCAUUAAGGCCAAAGGUGUUCGUCCUGAACUUAUUGGCUCCAUUAUUACUCAUUAUGCUUCUAAAUGGCUUCCUGACCUUUCUUUCGGAGAAGGUAUUUAUACAAAUUCUUCCAACACGUACCUGAUUUAGUAAUAUAGUAGCAUUACAAUCUUAAUAGCUCAGAUACUUACAGUCUUAGUAGUUCAGUUGGUUGGCUAUCUCAAUUUCUAACUUGUUGAUGAGGUUCGAUUCUCCCAUC
rnacentral:lncRNA from 1 species